rnacentral:rRNA from 1 species
CGAACGGGUGAGUAACGCGUGAGGAACCUGCCUCAAGAGGGGGACAACAGUUGGAAACGACUGCUAAUACCGCAUAAGCCCACGGGUCGGCAUCGACCAGAGGGAAAAGGAGCAAUCCGCUUUGAGAUGGCCUCGCGUCCGAUUAGCUAGUUGGUGAGGUAAUGGCCCACCCAAGGCAACGAUCGGUAGCCGGACUGAGAGGUUGAACGGCCACAUUGGGACUGAGACACGGCCCAGACUCCUACGGGAGGCAGCAUG